rnacentral:rRNA from 1 species
CACGCCGUAAACGAUGAGUACUAGGUGUAGGAGGUAUCGACCCCUUCUGUGCCGCAGUAAACACAAUAAGUACUCCGCCUGGGAAGUACGAUCGCAAGAUUAAAACUCAAAGGAAUUGACGGGGGCCCGCACAAGCAGUGGAGCAUGUGGUUUAAUUCGACGCUACGCGAAGAACCUUACCAGGACUUGACAUGGAAUUUAAAACUCUAGAGAUAGAGCCAUAACAAGUUCACACAGGUGG